rnacentral:rRNA from 1 species
GGCUAACUCCGUGCCAGCAGCCGCGGUAAUACGGAGGAUCCAAGCGUUAUCCGGAUUUAUUGGGUUUAAAGGGUGCGUAGGCGGUCCUAUAAGUCAGUGGUGAAAGACGGCAGCUUAACUGUCGCAGUGCCUUUGAUACUGUAGGACUUGAAUCUAUUUGAAGUGGGCGGAAUAAGACAAGUAGCGGUGAAAUGCAUAGAUAUGUCUUAGAACUCCGAUUGCGAAGGCAGCUCACUAAGUUAGUAUUGACGCUGAUGCACGAAAGCGUGGGGAUCAAACAGGAUUAGAUACCCUGGUAGUCCACGCCCUAAACGAUGAUAACUCGAUGUUUGCGAUACACAGUAAGCGUCCAAGCGAAAGCGUUAAGUUAUCCACCUGGGGAGUACGGUCGCAAGAUUGAAACUCAAAGGAAUUGACGGGGGCCCGCACAAGCGGAGGAGCAUGUGGUUUAAUUCGAUGAUACGCGAGGAACCUUACCCGGGCUUGAAAGUUAGUGAAUGAUCCAGAGACGGAUCAGUCCUUCGGGACACGAAACUAGGUGCUGCAUGGCUGUCGUCAGCUCGUGCCGUGAGGUGUUGGGUUAAGUCCCGCAACGAGCGCAACCCCUAUGUUUAGUUGCCAGCACAUUAAGGUGGGGACUCUAAACAGACUGCCAGCGUAAGCUGUGAGGAAGGUGGGGACGACGUCAAGUCAUCAUGGCCCUUACGUCCGGGGCUACACACGUGCUACAAUGGAUGGUACAGCGGGCAGCUACAUAGCAAUAUGGUGCUAAUCUCUAAAAGCCAUUCACAGUUCGGAUUGAGGUCUGCAACUCGACCUCAUGAAGUUGGAUUCGCUAGUAAUCGCGUAUCAGCAAUGACGCGGUGAAUACGUUCCCGGGCCUUGUACACACCGCCCGUCAAGCCAUGGAAUCUGGGAGUGCCUGAAGUCGGUAACCGCAAGGAGCCGCCUAGGGUAAAACUGGUAACUAGGGCUAAGUCGUAACAAGGUAGCCGUCCC